UCUUUACCGUGGCUGCUGGAAAGUCCAGAUGUCUUGUUGCAUGUAAAACCUCAAACCAACCUGAGUGUGAUUUCUCUUUAGUUCUGACCUCACUGCUGAGCUGCACAACAAACCAAGCCUCUCUGACUGUGAGUCCCAGCAGCUCUCAGCUGUUUAAAGGAGAGUCUUUCUCUCUGAGCUGUGAGGAGGACGACAGCUCUGCUGGAUGGACACCGAGGAGGAACACGACCACAGAAACCAGGACUCAGUGUGAUGACUGGGGAGGAGAACCAGCUGGUUCUUCAUGUUACAUCAGCUACAUCACUGCAUGGGACAGUGGAGUUUACUGGUGUGAGUCCAGAGAGGGAGCAACCAGUAACACCAUCAACAUCACUGUCACUGGUAAGAUCAGACUGCAUUAAUCUAAUGAGCCAGAUCAAUAACAAACACAGGGGCUGUGAUCACUGUCUCAGUGUUAUUCUUACUUUGCUAAAAUCAAAAGCAAACAUUUAACCUCAAAGAGGAAGAAAUACAGAUGAUUCAGAAGCUAACCAACACUGGAUGGAGCACUGAGUAGCCAAGGGAUGAGACUGAGGGGCUUAAAAUCCUGUAUUUGUAUGGUUCAAAACACCAUACAUAAAGAUUUCUGCAUGUUUGCUUCAUUAGGUCAUAUGAAAAGAAAUCUACCUAAAUAUUCAUCAAAUAUUUAGUUUUUAUGUGUUUACUGAGUCAAGAACAGGGCAGAGUGACUGGAGGCUCAGAAAAGGUGGAGAACAAAGCUGAAACUAACACAUUGCCGAGUUUGAUGGCAGGAAAGCAGACAGUAACAGUUUAACUCAGUUUCACACCUCCUCCUCCUUCCCCACCACCUCCCUACUUAUGUGCUAACAUUUUGACAAACACAGUAAGAUACAAAAACACUUUAAAAGAAACAUUUCACAAAGCAUGAGCAAUGUAACAU